rnacentral:lncRNA from 1 species
CAGCAUAUGGAGGUUCCCAGGCUAGGGGUGGAAUCAGAGCUAUAGCUGCCGGCCACAGCCACAGCCACAGCACAGGAUCCAAGCCGCAUCUGUGACCUACACCACAGCUCACAGCAAUGCCAGAUCGUCAAUCCACUGAGCAAGGCCAGGGAUUGAAUCCGCAACUUCAUGGUUCCUAGUUGGAUUUGUUUCCACUGCACCAUGAUGGGAACUCCAACAUUGGUAGGCUAUAUGGUAAGUAAAAUGUCUAACACUGUAACAAAUUGUCAAACUUUUCCAAAGUGGUUGUCCUACCAGCAAUGUAUGACUUCCCACUGUUCCACAUCCUCCCUGGAACUUGCCAUAGUCUGUCUUUAAUUUUAGUUAUCCCAAUGAGAAUGUAGUGGUAUCCCAUUGCGGUGUUUUUUCUGUUUUGUUUUGGUCAUGCCUGCAGCAUCUGGAAGUUCCUAGGCCAGGGAAUGAACCUGCUCCACAGCAGUAACCAGAGCCACAGCAGUGACAAUGAAGGAUCUUUAAGCUGCUAGGCCACCGGGGAACUCCCCCAUUUUGUCUUUUAAUUUGUGUGACUUCACUGACAACCAUCAAUGUUAAGUACACUUUCACAUGCUUAUUUGGCUGUUCACUUAUCUUUUAUCUUUUCUUGUAAAGUAUCUUUUCAAAUACCUUACUCAUAUCUUAGAUUAUUUAUUAAAAAACAUAUUCUGGAUAUAGCCCUUCAUCAGGUAGAGUUCUUUGAGGUAGUUACGUUCUAUACCGUGAAUUAGUGAAUACUGAACCAUUACUCCUAGGGCAAAUACCUUAGGGUUAGUCUCCUAAGAGACUCUGGUCACAACACGUUAGCCAAUCAAUCAAUGCAUAAUCUUAUUUUACGUGUAUUUAUGUUUAAAGAUACCUUAUUUAAUAUAUUUAAUAUAUAUCAUUGAUUCACUAACAUUAAACUCGCAGCCAUUGUCACUCUAACUAAUGCCUGGAUGAGGCUUAUCUAAGACGUGAAUUUUCUCCAUAAGGUACAUCAUAGCUUUCUUGAACUUAAGAACACUAGACAGUACUUCUACAUUAUGCUUGGGAGCCAUUUUAAGUUGCAAGAUCAACAACAAAAAUAAUAAAAAAUGCAAAAUAUUGGCACUAAAUAGGCUAUGAAAAGGACAUUUAUUUAUUUUUAAAAUAAAGUGUAGUUGACUUACAAUGUUGUGCCAAUUUCUGCCAUAGGGGCACUUGUUUAUACCCUGAAAACUAAAACAAGGCAGAGCACCAUUUUGUUUGAUACUGGCUGGAACAUAUACGUUGGGCAACUUAAAUUUUUGCUACUCUGUGCAUAUCCAUGAAUGACCACAAAAGCACUGCAAAUAGUGGUUUGCAGGUUAUAAAUUUUAAUAACAAAAGUUUUCUAUUUUGAUACAGUACUAUUUAUCAGGUUUUUUGUUUUAUGGCUUAUGCCACUUGUGUUAUUUAAGAAACCUUUGAUUAUCCUAAGGAUGAAAACAUUUUCUCUUAUGUUUUCUACUAAGUUUUACAGUUUUAGCUUUUACAUUUAUACCCAUGAUUUGUUUUGAGUCCAUUUUUUUUAUGAUGUGAGGUAAGGUCAAGGUCUAUUUCUUCCCACAGAGAUAUACAGUUGUUCCAACACUAUUUGUUGAGAAGACUAUCCCUGAAUAGUUUGGGCACUUUCACAAAAAACAAUUGACUACAUACACAUGAGUGUAUUUCUUGAUUCUUUAUUCUGUUUUGUUCAUCUCACGCUUGUCAUUAUGUCAAAACUACACUGUCUUGAUAACUGUAGCUUUAUAGUUAAGACCUGAAAUCAGGUUGUGUAAAUCCUCCAACAGUGUGCUUUUUUUGUUUUCAAAACUGUUCAGGUUAUUAGGUCCUUUGCAUUUCCAUAUAAACUUUGGAAUCAUUCAGCUUUUGAUUUCUCAAAAAGGUCUGGUAAGAUUUUGAUUGGAAUGGUACUGAAUAUACACUGAUCAAUCUAAAGAGAACUAACAUAACAAUACUCAGGCUCUGAUCCAUAAACAUGGUAUAUACAUACCUCCAUUUACUUAGAUUCUUCAUUUGUCUUAGCAAUGCUUUAUAGGUUUUAGUGUAUGUAUCUUAUACACACUUGGAUAAAUUUAUUCCUAAGAAUUUCAUGUUGCAUUCAUUUUUAAAAACUCAUUUACCAACUGUUCAUUGCUGGUAUACAGAAAUAAAAUUUGAUAUUUGUAUGUUGACUUUGUGUCCUAAAAUCUUGCUUUAUUUCACCUAU